rnacentral:rRNA from 1 species
UCCGAAGGGAGCUAGCGUUGCUCGGAUUUACUGGGCGUAAAGCGCGUGUAGGCGGUUUGAUAAGUUAGGCGUGAAAGCCCAGGGCUUAACCCUGGAAUUGCGCUUAAUACUGUCAAGCUAGAGUAUGGUAGAGGGCGGUGGAAUUCCCAGUGUAGAGGUGAAAUUCGUAGAUAUUGGGAGGAACACCGAUGGCGAAAGCAGCCACCUGGGCCAUAACUGACGCUAAGACGCGAAAGCGUGGGGAGCAAACAGG